CCUACGGGUGGCAGCAGUGAGGAAUAUUGGUCAAUGGGCGGAAGCCUGAACCAGCCAAGUAGCGUGCAGGAUGAUGGCCCUACGGGUUGUAAACUGCUUUUAUACGGGAAUAACGCGCCUUACGUGUAGGGCUUUGCAUGUACCGUAUGAAUAAGGACCGGCUAAUUCCGUGCCAGCAGCCGCGGUAAUACGGAAGGUCCGGGGGUUCUCCGGAUUUAUGGGGUUUAAAGGGAGCGUAGGCCGCAUGUCAAGCGUGCUGUGAAAUGUCCGGGCUCAACCCGGGCCGUGCAGGGCGAACUGGCGUGGUUGAGGCCGCGGAAGGCAGGCGGAAUUCGUGGUGUAGCGGUGAAAUGCUUAGAAAUGACGAAGAACCCCGAGUGCGAAGGCAGCUUGCUGCAGCGGAACUGACGCUGAUGCUCGAAAGCGCGGGUAUCGAACAGGAUUAGAUACCCUGUAGUC
rnacentral:rRNA from 1 species